UUCUUCGAAGUCUUUGUUGUG
ensembl:piRNA 21ur-2865 ncRNA